rnacentral:rRNA from 1 species
CCUUGUACACACCGCCCGUCACACCAUGGGAGUCGGUUUCUCCAGAAGUGCCUGAGCCAACCCGCAAGGGGGGGCAGGGUCCCAAGGAGCAGUCGGUAACUGGGGUG